rnacentral:lncRNA from 1 species
CUUGCUGUUCCUUUAGAAUUUGGCUAGAGGUGAGUAAUCACUUGCAAGUUACAAUGGCUGUGACACUCAAGUUAACAAGAGUGUCAGUAAAGAGGAGAAGAAAUAGGAUAAUGACAUAUAUUUCUAGUGAUAUUAUCCACCUCUAUAUACUUUGUUCAUUAUCUUGCAUUUUGAUGUCAUUCUUGCCCACAAAGGAAUGGUAUGCAAUUCCAACUCAUUCCUUGACUUCUAACUUC